ACUUUUGGUCACAGAGCCUGCCCUUGAAAAUAUUUUUAUCUAAUUUUACUGUUAUGCAGGGUAAGCAUGGGGAAGUGAUCAGUCAGAAAGAUCUUGAUGAAUUGUUAGACAGAAGUGAUCUUGUUGCACAGUUUGAGAAGUCAAAAGAAAAGAAACAAGAAACUCCUGAGGACAAGACAAACUGAAACCAAACACUUGUAUAAAAGAAGCCUAUAGAACAUUACUACAUGAGACACGGAGAGAGAUUUGUGCAGUGGUUUCUAAGAAAUCAAUGUAACUGAUAACACUGAAGUGAUACUAGUGUUGAUUACAGUAUGUAACCAUGCCCUAAGAUAAUUUGAAGCAUUCAUGAGAAAGGGAUUAAGUGACAUGGAUAUUUUUAUGGACGCAGUCUGUUGUUGAGUUAGCAAUUGGAAUUUCAGCACUUGACAACAAAAUUGGAGGAAAUGUGUGCGACAAUUUCAUAGACACAAUGAAAUUUGACCAAGUUUUUACACAAAAUGGUGCUAUAGAACAUUUAUUAGAUAUAGUGCGAAAAGUAUUGAGAUGUUUGUGUUUUAUAAAAAAAAAAAUGGGUUUUUUUUUUGUUUGUUUUGUUUUUUUUUUUUGCAAGAAAUGUUUGAUACAGCUUUUGCUUUGUCCAAUCCUUUCUUCCUUCUGUUACUCUCUUGGCACCUUCAUUUAUUUACAGAAAUUUU